AGCCUGAUCAGCCAUGCCGCGUGAGUGAUGAGGUCCUCUGGAUUGUAACUUCUUUUGUAAGGGACGAAAAAGGGGAAUUCUUUCUCACUUGACGGUGACCUUAUGCAAUAAGCACCGGCUAACUCCGUCGCCAGCAGCCGCGGUAAUACGGAGGGUGCAAGCGUUAUCCGGAUUCACUGGGUUUAAAGGGUGCGUAGGCGGGUAUUUAAGUCUAAGCUGAAAUCCUAGAGCUUAACUCUAAAACUGCCAUUGCAUACUAUUUAUCUUGAAUAUUGUGGAGGUAAGCGGAAUAUGUCAUGUAUCGGUGAAAUGCUUAGAUAUGACAUAGAACACCUAUUGCGAAGGCAGCUUACUACGCAUAUAUUGACGCUGACGCACGAAAGCGUGUGGAUCGAACAGGAUUAGAUACCCUGGUAGUCCACGCCCUAAACGAUGGAUACUCGACAUACGCGAUACACUGUGUGUGUCUGACGAAAGCAUUAAGUAUCCCACCUGGGAAGUACGACGCAAGGUUGAAACUC
rnacentral:rRNA from 1 species